rnacentral:rRNA from 1 species
GCUUGUCUCAAAGAUUAAGCCAUGCAUGUCUAAGUAUAAAUAUCUAUACUGUGAAACUGCGUAUGGCUCAUUAAAUCAGUUAUAGUUUAUUUGAUGAUACCCCACUACAUGGAUAACCGUAGUAAUUCUAGAGCUAAUACAUGCGUCAAAUCCCGACUUUUUGGAAGGGAUGUAUUUAUUAGAUAAAAAACCAACCCUUCGGGUUUCUUGGUGAUUCAUAAUAACUGUUCGGAUCGUAUGGCUUUUUGCCGACGACAGAUCAUUCAAAUUUCUGCCCUAUCAGCUUUCGACGGUACUGUAGUGGACUACCGUGGCAUUAACGGGUGACGGAGAAUUAGGGUUCGAUUCCGGAGAGGGAGCCUGAGAAAUGGCUACCACAUCCAAGGAAGGCAGCAGG